GAUGAACGCUGGCGGCGUGCCUAAUACAUGCAAGUCGAGCGAACGGACGAGAAGCUUGCUUCUCUGAUGUUAGCGGUGGACGGGUAAGUAACACGUGGAUAACCUACCUAUAAGACUGGGAUAACUUCGGGAAACCGGAGCUAAUACCGGAUAAUAUUUUGAACCGCAUGGUUCAAAAGUGAAAGACGGUCUUGCUGUCACUUAUAGAUGGAUCCGCGCUGCAUUAGCUAGUUGGUAAGGUAACGGCUUACCAAGGCAACGAUGCAUAGCCGACCUGAGAGGGUGAUCGGCCACACUGGAACUGAGACACGGUCCAGACUCCUACGGGAGGCAGCAGUAGGGAAUCUUCCGCAAUGGGCGAAAGCCUGACGGAGCAACGCCGCGUGAGUGAUGAAGGUCUUCGGAUCGUAAAACUCUGUUAUUAGGGAAGAACAUAUGUGUAAGUAACUGUGCACAUCUUGACGGUACCUAAUCAGAAAGCCACGGCUAACUACGUG
rnacentral:rRNA from 1 species